CCCCGACGCCGCAGGGGCGCCCGGGAGCAGGGAGCGGCGCCGAUGUUAUUACUCAUCUGCGAGUGCGGCGGGGAAAGGCGCACCGCGUCGUCCCAGUUUGAAGCUGCCGCCGCCUGCGAGCACCCGGCGGGGCGAAGCACCCUAAAGCUAAGCGCGAGCCUAAACCUAACGCACUCCCGACGGGUGAGCGCUCGGGGCUGUGCCGCUCCUCCCAGAAAUUUGCUGGGGAGGAUCAAUCACCAAUCACAUCAUGUAACUCAUCUGUAACUCAGCAUAGUGAAGUGGAUCAGUCUAAGAGCCUGAACAGAACUAAACCAAGACUCAGGCUUUGGCCUUUGAGGAGAAAGAUCACUGGGGGACAUGUAAUCCCACUGGAGAUCCAGGAAGGCAGCUGGCCUAUCUCUUGGAAAGAAUGACUACACAGCUACUGAGAAUAAGCCUGCUGAAGGAUGGGAGCCCAGAGCAGAAGUAAAGAGCACCGUACCUGCAUGGCUAUGCCUGAGAAAUCUGUUGGAACCUACUGGGCUUAUUCUCUGGGAACACAAAGCUCUUGCUGGGCCAGGAGCUGGGAGAGCAGCAGUAUACCAGGAUGAGGAGAAUACUGUUGCUGGAGCUGUGCUUGUUUAGAAAAUCUUGACAUAUUCUUUACUGGAUUCACUGGCAGCAUCAUCUUCAUCCAGUUUGCGCUUAUGGCCCCUGGAAGGACAGAGAUAAAGCCCAUGAAUCAAGAAUCAAGAGAAUUAGCCAGAUUAAGCAGGAAGCUGAUGUGCACCAUACUCUGCCGGAAGGAUCACAUUCCUGGUUGUGAAAGACCUCCAAGGAAAAUCUAACACUUCAACUGGGACAAAGCCAUAAGCAGAAGAAUUUGGAUUUGUGGAAUCCUAAAAUCUCUGUUCUUUGCCAAAACAGAAUUUUAUAUCAGACAUAUACUUCUGAGGCAAAAAUAAAGUUGAGAUUUUGCACAGAAUUCAAAAUGAGCUCCAGAAAUAUCUUCAAAAAUCGUUCCUUGAUCAUUUGAUCAAAUUUCAGAGAAAUAUGCUCAAAGUGGGUCUCUCUUAAACAAAUGUCCUUUUCAGUGUUAGGUAGGGUUUCACUAAGAAGAGAAUGCAUCCACUUGCAAGAAUGAAAAAUUAACAAAGUGUCUUCAGCAAAAAGUAAUAAAUUAGCAAAGGCCCCUUUACUUCUAAGAGUAUAGACAAGUACCAUAUAGCAAGAAAGACCUUUGAUAUACGUAUACCCAAAAGAAAUAAAUACAAAGAUUAAAAGUCAAAUUUGUGAGCUUGUAAGCAAAACUGAAAUACAAAGCAAUUUCUAUCCAUACAAAGACAUUCUUAUUAACAUUCUUCCAGAACCAUUAAUUCUCAGAAGAGCAGACUACUUGCCACUUGACGUGUUGGCUGGUUCAGUGACACCUGACCUUCCUCUUUUUAACUGACAAAUCAGGGUGUGAUGUCAGGGGAGGGUAUGAAUCAAAAUGGUAGGAGAACAGCACUGUGUUACUCUGUCUUUCCAUUAUGCUGGUCCAUUGGGACCAAAAGAUACACUGCUGCUGGUUUGCUGAUUACUUCCUCACAAUGAUGUUAGAUUUACUUUUCCUUCUGUACAGGGUGGUAGGAACAAGUUUGCCGAUGACACAAAACGAGGAGUGGCUGAGACACCAGAGAGUCAUGAAGCCACCCAGAGGGACUCAGGCUGAAGAAGUGGCAUGACAGGAACCGCAUCAGUUAACAAGAAAAGGUGCAGAAUGCUACACUUGGGGAGAAACAACCCCAGGCAUCAGGACCUGCUGGCGGCUGGGCAGCCGGAAAGCAGCGCGACAGGAAAGCACUUGGAGGGCCUGGUGGACACCAAGUUGAACAUGUGCUAGCAGGGUGACUUUGCCACAAAGAAGAGUGCAGAAGAAUUCUGGGCUGCAUUAGGUAUUGCCAGCAGGUCAAGGGAGGUGAUCCUUCUCCUCUGCUCAGCAUUGGUGAGGUCACAACAGCAGCUCUGGUCUCCCAGGUACAAGAGAAAAACAGAACUACUGGAGACUAUUCCAACAAAGGGCCAUGAAGAUAAUAAUGGGACUGAAGCAUCUCUCUUAUGAGGAAAGGCUGGGAAAAGUGGGACUGUUCAGCGCAGAGGGAGGUGCCUGAAAGGAAGGUGCAAAGAGUAUGGAGCAAGGCUCUUUUCAGAGGUGCCCAGUGAAAGGACAUGAGGCCAUAGGCACAAACUGGAACACAAGAGGUACCCUCUGAACACCAGGAAGCACAUCCAUGCUGUGUGGGUGACAAAGGACUGGCACGGACCACUCAGUGAGCUGGUGGACUGUCCUCCUUUGAGACUUUCAAAAGCCAUCUGGACAUGAUUCUGGGUAGCUUGCUGCAGGCGGCCCUGCUUGAGCACGGAGUUGGACCAGAUGACUUCCAGACAGCACUUCCAACUUCAUUCAAUCUGUGAUUCUGUGAUUUUGUGAGUAAUAAUCCUGUGAGUAAGGCUGAAGCCCUGGUUUUCAAUCUAGUGUCAGAAUUCUUAAGGAAAAAUGGGGUGAGGUGAAAGCACUUUCUGCAUAUUUUGCUGUCUAAGCUAAAAUGUGCUAAGGGAGCUAUAGGGCACUAAAUCCAGCUUAAUACACAAGGAAAAGCAGCCUCUCAGGCACAUUAGUUAUUUCUACACAGCCUACACUAGUGCACAGCUCAGAUGAAGAAGCACCCAGACUAAAAAUGCUCCGCUGGAAGAAAUUUUAGCACAUUUCCAUUAAAUCUUAUACAAAUGCUUGUAUAAGAUAAUGUAUGGUGCUUGUGUUUUACUUGUUUACUUCAUGAUUAUUUCAGCCUUGAGAGAUACAGCUUAGUUUUAGUCAUUAAUGACACUAUUAGCUGGAGAAAAGUUAAUUGCCGAAUAAAGAAAGCUGAGUCUUACUCGGCAAAAGCAGAAAACAUUACCGUUGAACAAGCAGUGGAUUAGAAAUCUAUUCUUAGUGCUAACCGAGCAAUAAGAUAAAUAAAAACAAAGAGGGAAUCUAUAGAACAAUGUUCACAGUAGAAAACAUGCAUAUUUACAACAUUUCAGCUAUGGAAACUGAUUGAACCAAUUGAAAACUAAAAUUUACAGUCUGAUGGCAGGUACUGCAAGUCUGCUGGUAUCCAAACCAAUACGAAAGAACCUGUAGGAAAAUAUCCAGUAACUCAUUGCUAGUUGAUUAUUCCUAAAAGUGAGAAACUAUUUACUGAAUAAUCAAGCCAGAAGCCAGGAGUACUAGUCCAUGCAGCAAACCCACCUUUUCAUUUAAAUUUACUCCAGAGCAAAUAUAUUUCAGUGAGGAUGAUCAACAAAACAUAAGCACCUGAAAUGCUCAGUGUAGCUUGUUAAUUCAAGAAUGGAGUACCUAUCUACAAAAAGUCUCUGCAGAAAACUUUAAGGCAAAGUCCUGACAUAAAGUCCAUCUCUCACCCAGCUGUAUUAAGCAGUACCUUCUGAAACACAAAAAACUAAAUGCCAUCUGUUUUGUCAGUUCUUGUUCUUUUGAAACAAAAGAUUUUAUAUGUUCUAUUUUAUACAUUCUAUGCCAAACUUCUUCACUUAAUAAUUAGACCAAAAAAAAACCAAAACCAAAACAAAAAAGAACGCACAGCUACAUGUUAAUCCUCUGCUAUAAGAAAGGAAAAAUCUGAGUGCCGCUAUCUACUAACAUAUCAAAACCUUUCGCUAUUUGUGUACUGUAACUGGCAUCUUCAUAAUUAUUCCAAAAGUAUUUAAAUGCAUAUUUUGAAAACACAUGCAAAGCUAACUUGGAUAGAAAUGUGGAACAAGAACGUCAAAUAAAGCUGCAUUUUUAACUUGUGAAUUCAGAAAAGAGUGAUAACAGAUUAAUCAUUACUGUCUUAAGAGAAAAGCAGUAUUUUCCCAUGACAGCAUGUAUGUUAACAGAAUAAACAAUUUCAAACGUGUAUUUCAAAGGUGUACUCAAA